rnacentral:sRNA from 1 species
GCCAGGUGCGGAGGCGCACACCUGUAAUCCCAGGGGCUUGAGAGGCUGAGGCGGGAGGAUUGCAAGUUCAGCCUCAGCAAUUUAGCAAGGCCCUGAGCAACUUAAUGAGACCCUGUCUCAA